AAUCAUUGCCACCAUGUAUUAUCCACACAAUGAAUCCAUCACAUCAUUCACUGCUGGGUAAGAGGUAUGGAAAAUAGAGAGUUGUCCCUCUUCUGCCUAAACUUCCUGUCCAGAACAUGGUAUGACACAGCUGCACCAGCAACCCCUAGGAGAUGUCAUGAUUUAUUCCUAAGACCCCACAGGGCCCUUUACUAAGUCUUCCACAGCCGUCUAUUGAAGGGCGCUUUCUUUUUGAUAUAACAGGUGCAAACAGCAACGGGGCAAUGUGAAGUCGCCCUGAUUUGAUGGCAGGGGCACAGCCUACUGCUCAUCUACACUUUAUUUUCUUGCUUUUGAAUUCACAGGUCAUAAUAAAGCAUUGCAUAUCCACAGACCAGCAAGAAGAAUUAAUUAAGAGGAGCCUUUUAAUGUAGAAAGCAGCUUACUGAGAUAAUGGAAAAGGCUUUGGUAAGACUUGGCUUAAUUGGAAUUUCAAGCAAUUCCUUGCUUGUUGUACCAGGGAUUUUUACUGUUAUAGACAGGAUGAGCAAGCUGUUUAAAGAGCUUACUGGCAGAACUGGACUCAGAGGUUUCAGCAGAGAUGGUUUUGGUUCAAACAAUCAGGGCUGUCUUAGAAAACAGCAAGCAGAGAGCAUAGACUUGUUCUCUCGUCACUGUAUGAACAUACAAGUCUUAUAAACCUCUCAGAUAACGUAGGAACUAGAAGAUUAAUUUGAAAGGCAAGUUCCAGGAUAACAAACUUGUUGCCUGUUUCUAGAUUAAAAAUAUAGAAUGAAGGAAAGAGGAACCAAAUGCAGAGGAUGGGCUUUGACAUUUGAAAUGCAUGGGCUCAUACCUAAAUUCUACCCUGUACUUCCCGGUAAAUUCCAGCUAAUAAUUCCCACCUCAUAGUAGUGUAAAUAUUAAUUGCCAAUAGAACAUGUUAAACAUAUGGUACUCUGCUAUAGUAUGCAGCCAUCCUCUGUGUAGGAUACAUCAGGGAACAAGACACAGACACUUCCUUAGGGAACUUUGUAAUGGGACACACAGUGGAUAGAUUAUAUUCACUGGAAAGAAGAAGCCCUUUUCAUCUGAAUUAUGGUACAUUAACUGAACAACUGGAACACAAAGCCAAUUGAAAUGAAUGCAUUUCAAGGACAUGAAAGGGCUUCAGGGGAAAAGAAUGUGGUUUAUCUUUUUGUGAGCUGGCUAGGGGUAAGCAGAGGCCCAAGAAGAUGACUGAGUAUUUAGCAUCACUUGCUUAUUUCACUGCCUCACAGUACAGUUUUAUGGAUUUUUCUCUGGGUCCAAAUGCUACUUUUCAUAAACACCUAUGCCAGAAAUUCAAUGGGGCCAUCUGAAGGGCUGUUUGUCUGGAAAUUAGCUUGAUUCACAUCUGAAUUACCAAUGAUUACCAAUGAUUAGUUGAUUACAGCUUGACUUGAGCUUCAAUUGCUAUGAAGUGCUAUAUGUCACCUUAAAAUAUAUUCUACUGCAGGCUGAUUCUAUUUGCUUCUUGUUGUCUCCGUGGGGCUGAACUCAAAUUCUCUUAGCACACCUCUUGGUGGUUUCAGGAAACACGUGCAUGUUCUCCUCUUGUGAUGUUUGGUCUACCUACUUAGUUAAGGAUUGCAAAGAGUAGUUCCUUUUUUCCAAGAUAAGGAAAAGAGCCCUUUCAUGGGUGGCAAUUUCUUCAGUACAAAUGCUAUUUCUUCUCUGGUAAUGAUAAAGAUGAUGAAACUGAAUCCAGGGCAUUGUCCUGAAGCUUUUUUCAACGGAGCAGAUCUGUAUGGCCUUGAAAAUAAGUAGUCUUAAAUAAGACCCUGAGGCAAGGAAACAUCCAGAAGAAUAUGCAUUUGCUGGAAUAACAACUUUCUAAAUAUAGCAGCAGAAAUCUUUCCUGAUGCAACAGAAAAUUCCAGGAUGGGCUUCUGAGAAGAGGCUGACCUAUAGCAGUACAUCUGAAGGAAAAAUAGACCCAUAAUUGUUAUUUUCACUGUAUAUGUACAUAUACUAUUAAGGCACAAUUCUAAAAUUCCAAAUAAAACUCUGGGUCUUUUUGAAAAAAAAGACAAAGUAUUUAUUCUGGCCAGGGCCAAAGGGACCAGAAGGCAGACAUUUCCUCAGCCCAAGACAAAAGAGUGCAGGUGAAGAAUCAGCUUUAAGAACAAACAAACAACACAAAGAAGCAGGGUGGAAGAGGCAAGUACAAUCAUAAGACACAUUUCAUAAAGUGUAAAGCACCAAGUUCUCGAAUUGGCAUAC
rnacentral:lncRNA from 1 species